rnacentral:rRNA from 1 species
AUUGAACGCUGGCGGCAGGCUUAACCCAUGCAAGUCGAACGAGUGGCGGACGGGUGAGUAAUGCUUGGGAAUCUAGCUGAUGGAGGGGGAUAACUACUGGAAACGGUAGCUAAUACCGCGUACCAUAGGAUGAGCCCACGUGGGAUUAGGUAGUUGGGGAGGUAAAGGCUCACCAAGUCGACGAUCGCUAGCUGGUCUGAGAGGAUGACCAGCCACACUGGGACUGAGCAACGGCCCAGACUCCUACGCGAGGCAUCAGGGGGGAAUAUUGCGCAAGGGACGCAAGCCUGACGCAGCCAGGCCGCGUGAAUGAAGAAGGCCUUCGGGUUGUAAAGUUCUUUCGGUAGCGAGGCGUUAACUACAGAAGAAGCACCGGCUAACUCCGUGCCAGCAGCCGCGGUAAUUC